AUUCUCCUGCCUCAGCCUCCUGAGUAGCUGGGACUACAGAAUGAUAGAAAUGCUGCGCAAAACCAACUCAACUGUUUUCAUCUCACUUGAUAUGUGCACAAUCUACCAACACUGCUCACCUUGGGCUUCUUGGUUGAUUUCAAACUCCUGGGCUGAAGCCAUCCUCCCACCUUGGCCUCUCGAGUAGCUGGGACUACAGACAAGAACCACUGCACCUGGCUCAAGAUUGUGUUAGCAGCAGUGACGCUGUUUGUACAGAUUCACUAUCUGCAGUAACUCAGUUCUUGCCUCCUUAAAAGAAAGAAUUCAUCUGAGGAGCAUAACACACAGUGUGAAAGUAUAUUUUAAAAGUUUUAGAGCAGAAAUGAAAGGAAGUAAAGUAUAUUUGGAAAAGGGCCAAGCAAGGAACUUGGGAGUUUCAAGUGCCUCCCCUUGACUUGGGGUUUAUAUGUUGGUAUGAUUCCAGGGUUUGUGUUUCUUCUCCCCUGAUUCUUCCCUUGGGGUAGGCUGCCCACGUGCGCAGUGGUCUGCCAGGACUUGGGAGGGGCCACAUAUAGUGUGUUUACUGAAAUUGUGCACAUGCUCAUUUGAGGCAUUUUUCCCUUACCCGUCACAUAUUCCCAGAAGAAGGUCAUAUACCAAUUAAACUGCCAUCUUGCCUCUUAGUGUGCAUGCCUGGGCCCACUAGCCCAAGUCCUGAGAUCUUACCGGGAAGCUGCUGCUCAUCAGCUUCAGGUGUUUUCUGUCUAUUGGGAGCGGGCCGUUCCCUGGCACCAGCUGUGACCAAUUACAACGUUAGCUAGACAGUUUAACAACUGCCUGACCAUCACUUGAUAGUCGCCUGACAUUCCUGGUGGAAGGGGGCCUCUUCUGCCCUGCUCAUAUCUGCCUAACUACCUACUCUAACAAUUACACUUUAAGAUUGAUCCUUUCCCUUUCAUGGGCAGUGAUUGCUUUCCUGAUCAUCUCAUUUCUUGUCCUGAGAACUUGGCUUGACUUUCCAUCUGUCAGGGGUACAUGGGUUGUUGGGUCUGUGUAUAUAGGUGGCCAAUCAAAAGGCUAGGAGCCUCAAGAAUAUGGCUAGACAGAAAUGGAGCUGCACCCCAUUUGCAGCUAGCAAAAUAUGGCCAGACAGAGAUGUGGGUUGAACUUAUUUGCAGCUAGACUGAUUGUGAUACAGGAGAGAGAAAGAAAUUAUUUAGGCAGAUAGUGACGGCAAAGAGUCCUUGGCAGAACUUCCCUUCUAACAAAAAAGCAUAACUAGAAAUCAUGUCUUUUCUAACAAAGAGCAACCUGAGAAAUAGGGGUGCAAAACAUAAAAAAGGAAGCUGGAAGCUUGCACAGGGGAAUGCCAGCAACCGCACCAACAAAAAAGGGCUACCUGGGAGACAGGCGUGUCCGCCAUGGAAGCUCCAUCUUCCCUUUUUUGUUAGCACAUGUACAGUAAGAAAGAAAUGGGCAACAUGAAGAAGCUCAGGCAGAGAACCCACCUGCAUAAUAAAAGAUUGGGGUGGGGGCUGCCAGAGAUUCACACCCUGUGCAGAUGGCACACCUGGUCCUAACUGAUUUUUUGUGUCCUACGUAGAUCAGACAUCGCCUUCAUCUUAACUCAUCUAUGAAAACCACUGCAUUUCACCACAAAUAGGCAACACAUUUUUCUGGGACACCUCUCUGUAGCAGAGAACUAUUCUCUUUCUUUUGCCUGUUAAUCCUCCACUCUUAACCUUACUCUUUGUGUGUCUGCAUCCUUGCUCUCCAUGGUCACGAGGCAACGAACCUCAGGUGUCACCCCAGACAAUGAUGCCACUUCAAUCAUUGCAGCUCUCAAGGCAUUAUUUAAGUCUCUGGGGUUUUUUUGUUGUUGUUGCUUUUGUUGUUGUUGUUGUUGGUUCUGGCUGUUUUUUGGGAGUGACUCUGGAAGAGCUGAUCUACAGGGCUCUCAAAUUAGGUCUACCCAGGGAUGCCUUCAAUAGGUAUAAGCUUCUAAUAGUGCCUUCAACGGUGCAGCUUCUAAAAGUAUUUCAAAAAAUGUUUAUUGCAUAUUUUGAACAGCUUUUCACAAAAUGCCUAAUAAAAAGUUUAAGUGAUUUAUAAGAAAA